CACGAUUCACGUUUAUCAACAUGGUUGCUCUACAACUAACUGACCAAUAAUCAUUAAUCUUUUCAGCUUAAAAUACAGUUUUUGUGUUCGACACUAGCUCUGAGACUGCUUCAGCCCCUUCGGUCCAUUUUCACAUAUUGUGGUUCAUCAUAGCUAAGUUCUAAGCUUUCUACCUGCUUAUCACCGAACUCUCUUUCUUCAAUCUAUAAUCCUACUUGGUGAAAUUUAUCGUGGCAGAACUUUCCCCCGUUAGCAACGAUUGCAUAAUUCUAGCCUACUCUAGUUUCAUCAAAUCUAAUCUAUAAGAUGUUUGCUCUUGGCCACUAGUUAGAUUAUUGAGAUGGGAUGUAAAUACCAACUAUAUGUUGUCAAUUUGG
rnacentral:lncRNA from 1 species